AUUUGGUAAGCGCUUACAGACACCUCCAUAAAAUUUUAGGUGAGAAUUCGGCUUGCGGGAUUAAUGUAAAAUAAUGUUUUGGUUGAGAAAAAUCUUCACACCACUGCGUUGUUCUUGCUGAAAUUUCGUGGUAACUGUUGGAAUCUCGCGUUCCAACUACCUGUCAUAAACGGGACGUUUUAAAACGAGCGACCAGUACACGAACAAGGCACGAAGCGUAACAGGAAAAAAGCGUUAAAAAGGGCCGCAAGAUAGGAACGAGCCUUUUCUAAACCAAUCGCGAAAAAACGGACAAAUUUUUUGGCGCGUAAUAAGAUAAUAAAUCGUUUUUGGCAAGAGAUUUCAUCCGCUUUGGUUUUAGUUCCCAACAUUCCAAUAAAUUUGGUUCGAUAAAUCCAAACACAUGUUGAUUCGAUAAAUCCAAAAUAAAUUGGAUUUGGAAAUUCGUCAAACGAUUUCGUGUACGGCAUUCCUCGUUCGUCGUGUAGUUUCGCGAGUCGAAAAAAUAAAUCACGCGCGGUGUGUGUCGAAGUGCCUGUGACCAAAAAGUGCAAUGGAGCAGCAGCAAUUGCGUGGUAUGCCAAGGGCAGAGCCGGCUACCACAGGGACUGUCCAAGGGACAGAACGUGUCAACGUUUACACUAGCCCCCGCGGAGCAUCGUCCACCCCAGGAGCAUUGCGCGAGACUCUCUCCCCGUCAGAAGGUUCCACUGUGGAAUAUGUGUACGAGUGGGCAGCAAGUAAGGCGGAAAAAUUGCAGCAGUACCAGCCAACCUAGUUCGAAGAUGACGCCCGGAGGCGCGUUCCUCAAGAAGGAAGUAAGACCCCUCAACAAGGAGCGUCGAGUAAGACAGGUGAGGCAAGUGGUAACGGUCCGGCAAAUCCAGAUCGAGACGAGGAAGAGACGCUGUCAGCGUCUGAAAGUGCACGAUGGGAAAGUGAGGAGCGGCACAGACGGCGUAUUGUGCAUGAACGCGAGCUGCUAAAGCUCGAUAUUGCGGAAGCGCAAACUGGCGAGACCGCCAUCGCGCAGCCCCCGAACACUUUGGGACGAAAAGAGAAAGAGUUUCAAGAGUGGGUCCGCGACAUGGAGAAUUCCAUGCGCCAGCCCAUUCGCGACAAGGAUGGCCGUUCACGGGGUCAACAUCCUGUGGUUCAACACCCCGACGCGAGAAUCACACGCACACCAAAUCCUCACACGAUACAAUAUGGCCACGACACGUACGCAACACAACAGGAUGCAGGGUACGCGACACACAUGCACCCCCAACCGGCAUUAUCGCGCGAUUUUUAUGUGUAUCUAUCAUUUUUCUCAUUCUAACAUUCAGAAAAAUUUUCGUUCUGCCUCGCUCUUCUGGGUGUUGGUCUGGUUUUGCUUGCAACUUUUCUGUGUCACAUCAAACAUUCUCAUGUUUCAUAUGGCUCUUCUCUUUCCAUCGUUAGAGAGAAACUCUUGCGUCUCGCUUUUCUGGGACUUAUCCAAUUUCGCUUGCUACACCAAUCGUUCACGCAAGCGUUCUCUCUCCCGCUCUUUGUAUCAUUGUACAGGUACUCCCCGAUAUACGCUAUCAAUGCGGACCGGAGGCAAUAGCGUAUCUCGAGUAUUAUCGAAAGCCAAAUUUCGAGGUUUUCAGUCAAAUUAUAGCUUAUUUUCGUAUAAUUUUGCAUGAAGUGGUAGGUUUUAGCCACUAAAUUAGUUAUUUGAUCUGAUUUCAACUGAAGAUUACAAUGUUAUACCUUUUGAAAUGGUUUUUAAUAUUCAACCAAAAGGGAAUUUAUUUUCCAAUUUACAUUCCAUUUCUCAAAUUAGUACAAUUUCUUCAAGAACUGUCAAAUUAAAAAAAAGCGUAUAGCGAAAUCACGUAUUUCGAGUCUGGCGUAUAUCGAGGAAUACCUGUAUAUCCACACGAGGAAGGCGCUGCUUCGCGUUCUCAUGAAAAAGUGGUAGUAUGAAAUCAAGUUUGCAAGCAGAAGAACCGCUUGAAAUCAAGUUUGCCAGUCGAUGCGUGGUCGUUUUUUCUCUCGCGAAACCACUACGAAAAAAACUAUUUGAAAUCCACGAAAUUCUAUAGAACACACGCACGAACGGAAGUGAGCACGGACCACGAUAGAAACAAUAUUCAAUUGAUUGGAGUGCCGAAAACAACAGAACAAGAGAGGAAAGAAGGCAGGAACGAUCCUCCAACGUGCUAGCGCCUGGUAGAGGAGAAGCGGCAGGAAGGUAGAGGCGAUCAUCCAGCGCGCUAGCGCAGCAUGUGAGAGCAGCGAGAGGGAGGCAAGUAGGAAGAAUUUUUAACGUGUGGACACCAUUCGACGAAGACAACGCUGGAUUAAAGGAAGAACGAGGGCGUAAGACGGGUACGUGUGUAUCUCGCACGGGUGUUCGGCAGUGUGAAUUGUGUGAGUAUUGAAAAGUGUAUGUGUGAGUAGAGGUAAAGAGGUAAAAUAAAGAGCGAAUGUGUAGAACGGAAAAAUGAGAGAGAGUCUGUGUUUGUUUUGGGAGAGAGGAGAGAAUGAAAGAUCGCGAUUUAGUUUUAAGCGUCGAUGUGUUCCAAACUAAUUUUUUGGAAUGUUAGAAACUGGCGCUCUAACCAAAAAAAAGAGAACAAAGUGAAUUUGUUAGGUAAGCACUGAGGGUGCACCAAAAAAUUAGUUUUUUUUCUUUAUUCUCUGUUAUCUUCGCUCUUGGGUGUUUUUAUCGCAAUUGAUCGUUUCCGCGGUUUUUCUGCCUUUUUAACUGCUUGCGCACACACAAAACAUCGCCUUAGCUGACAGUUUGUUGGAACCUUAUAACAGUUUCCAACAUGAAGAGAA